AAGAAAAAAUAUUUUUUGAAAAUAAAUGGGUAAAGAGAUCGUGAGAUGACAGAGGCCAUGUGGCCAGGUAGGUGUGGUCACCAUGAUGGUCAAGAAGAAUGGUGUGGCCUCAGAGACCUUUGGCUCAUUGGUCAUGGAGUCACCCUUAGGACAAAACAGGGCUCUGUCAGUGGAGGUGGGGGUGGGGGUGGAGACCCCCAUGUCUCAGGAACACGACUGGAACCUGACUCACAAUGCAGUCACAUCUCCCCUUCCAAUUCCUGGACAUGAGUCAUUCGCGUAUCCGGAGCCUCUGCCAGAGGGAAAGUCCUGGCGGAAACACCCAAGGCCCUGUGGUCUUCCCCUGCCUGGUCCCCCUCCCCCACACAGGGAUGUAGACUGGCCGGGAUGGCGCGUGCGCUGGGGGCGGGGACACCCCAAGCUCUCAGGAACAGCUGGGCUCUGGCUCUGAGCUAAUGACACUUCCCAGACUAUGUGAUGUCCCGCCCACCCACAGUCCACUGAUCCGAGGGGUCAGAUGAAAUAUGCAUUUAGGGCCACAGCCCAUCUCCCCAUGGACACAGCGGGAAUGUGAAUCUAUCUUGUGUUAAUUUCUCCGGUUCUCAAGGCGUUCGGUUUGGAUGGAUGCACUAAGCAGCAGGCCAAUGCAAUAUUACCUGCAGAUCCCGGCAAAGACUCAGAAAGUCCAGUUGGCAACUUGGGCAGGGAUGGCAGCCCUCUGCUCCAUCUAGUCAUUCAGGGAAGUGCUGCUACUGUUGACAUGAGGAUUUAAGGUCAUCCCAGGAGGGUGAAGACAGCACAAGCAGGACUGGGCGACAGGUAUUUGUGGGUUGGGUCUGGGAGUGGCCCACAGCAUUUCUACCCAAAUCGAUUCCAGAACUCCGUGACACGGCUCUACCUGGGUGCAAGAGGGGGUGGGAGGUACAGAUCGGCUGAGAGGGUGGUCCGCAGGGAGCUGGCAGCAGGGCAUUUGCUUUCUGACGCCUUCGUUUGCUGCUGCUGACUGUGGUGACAGGAGUAACUCCCCAGGGGACCUCAGGGAUAGUGUGUUUACAAUGACUCUGUAGCACUAAGUUCGGGGGUUCAAUCCCUUUCUGCUCAAACUAGGCGUCUGCAACCUACACCCAGACCCUAGCUUUUACAGUCAGGGAGGUGAGAGGUCAAGGAAGAGGGAGGCCAUAGUGCGAGGAAUCUCGUGGACGGAGAUGGAUGAGGUCAGAAUCGGAUGUACAGGCAACUCUUGAUCAAGACACCAAAAUCUUCAGUGACCGAGGGGACGUGGUUGACCAGAGGGGCCCAUUAAUCACCUCUGUUCCUCCUGCUUUGUGCUCUGGUGUGUAUGUAUAAUAAACGUUUUAAAAUGCAGAAUGUUCUUUUGUUCAUUUAUGCAUUCAUUUAAUAUCUGCCCAGCAAAAAAUCAAUAAGCACUCUACAGGCUGACUGCUGUGGCUGAAUAAGAAAAACAGUUUCAACAAAAUCUAAAGCCCCUGUAUUAUAAAGCACUUGGAAAUGCUGACAAAAGUAUAAUAAGCAUUUUUU